AGCACCCAACACCUGGAAAAGACGGACAGAAAGGAAAGAGGAUCAUCAUCAAACUCUGCACACCACAGCAAAAUGGCUGGGGUUUGACCAGGCACCUGGGCCACGUCUGACCCGCUGACUGGUGCAACUAUUAACACCGCUGCUGCCGCCCUUGCAUCAUCGAAUCUCAUCAGGAGAGAGUGCAGACUGGAGGAAGGCGGCAUAUUUGCAGAGUGGUUGCUAGGGAAACACAGCCUCUCAUUCUCAUGGCAACACACACUCAGGCAUGGCUUGAUGUUUUCAGCACGGCUCGUCGGUUGGAUAACGACGGCCCGUACUCGGUUCACUAUUUCCUGUGUUUCCGGAUUCGUCCAUGAAACAUUUUGCUCUUGUGGAGCUUCCACAUCCAGUGAUCUACUUUGGGAACUUGACCAAACUGACCCAGGUCAAAGGGUCAAUGACUGCUGAUCGCCCCUGUGCAUAGGUCAAAUUCACACCUGUGGACAUAACGGAGGGGAACAUCAUCUGUUAAGUGAGAUUUAUCUGUUCUAUUGUGUUCAGCUUUGUUAGUAAGAGGUAUUUAAAGAAAUCCACAAAAUCUCAUUACCUUACAAUAUGCUAAACCUAUCAGAGCUGUUGCCUUUUGUGUUAAAGUAUUUAAGUAUAUCUAAAUGUG